UGUGCCCAGCCUAUCCCAAGCCCCUUGUCCCUGGCUCACAUCCCUCCAGUGCAGGGUCCACCUUGGAAGCUGUGUGGGUGCCAGUCCCUCCCCACUCCAGAGGGCACCUGCCGCGGUGUCAGCCCUCCCAGGGUUCUUUAAUGUAUGGACAGCUGACUCUAAGACACCCGCACCUGUUCAAGGACAAGGGCCCAGCUCGCCUCCAAUCUUCAGAACAUAGUGGCAGGCCUCACCUCCUGGGACUGGAGUCCAGUAUCGUCCUACAUCAGGGACCAGCGAACCCAGGGUAGAGCUGGGCGCCUGAGACUCAGCGGGAGCUCUGUAGUUUUAACUCUUUACCUCCAGAACUGUGAUUAAUUUCUGGCCACUUAAUCAAAUUAACUGUCACAGAUCCAUCAUGGUUUCUAAUUUUGGGGCCAAAGUUUCUAUGAUUCAUCUGUUCCACAGAGAAGCCUUGAAUCUACGCCUACUGUCAGGUUAAAGUAAAGAUAAUCUGUGUGAUUCUG